rnacentral:rRNA from 1 species
UUUUUUAGAGUUUAAUUCUGGCUCAGGACGAACGCUGGCGGCGUGCUUAACACAUGCAAGUCGAACGGAAAGGCCCUUCGGGGUACUCGAGUGGCGAACGGGUGAGUAACACGUGGGUGAUCUGCCCUGCACUCUGGGAUAAGCCUGGGAAACUGGGUCUAAUACCGGAUAGGACCACACACUUCAUGGUGAGUGGUGCAAAGCUUUUGCGGUGUGGGAUGAGCCCGCGGCCUAUCAGCUUGUUGGUGGGGUAAUGGCCCACCAAGGCGACGACGGGUAGCCGGCCUGAGAGGGUGACCGGCCACACUGGGACUGAGAUACGGCCCAGACUCCUACGGGAGGCAGCAGUGGGGAAUAUUGCACAAUGGGCGCAAGCCUGAUGCAGCGACGCCGCGUGAGGGAUGACGGCCUUCGGGUUGUAAACCUCUUUCAGUAGGGACGAAGCGAAAGUGACGGUACCUACAGAAGAAGGACCGGCCAACUACGUGCCAGCAGCCGCGGUAAUACGUAGGGUCCGAGCGUUGUCCGGAAUUACUGGGCGUAAAGAGCUCGUAGGUGGUUUGUCGCGUUGUUCGUGAAAACUCACAGCUUAACUGUGGGCGUGCGGGCGAUACGGGCAGACUAGAGUACUGCAGGGGAGACUGGAAUUCCUGGUGUAGCGGUGGAAUGCGCAGAUAUCAGGAGGAACACCGGUGGCGAAGGCGGGUCUCUGGGUAGUAACUGACGCUGAGGAGCGAAAGCGUGGGUAGCGAACAGGAUUAGAUACCUUGGUAGUCCACGCCGUAAACGGUGGGUAGUAGGUGUGGGUUUCCUUCCUCGGGAUCCGUGCCGUAGUAUACGCUUUUCGUACCUCGCCUACGGACUCCGG